GAUGAACGCUGGCGGCGUGCCUAAUACAUGCAAGUCGAGCGAACGGACGAGAAGCUUGCUUCUCUGAUGUUAGCGGCGGACGGGUGAGUAGCACGUGGAUAACCUACCUAUAAGACUGGGAUAACUUCGGGAAACCGUAGCUAAUACCGGAUAAUAUUUUGAACCGCAUGGUUCAAAAGUGAAAGACGGUCUUGCUGUCACUUAUAGAUUGAUCCGCGCUGCAUUAGCUAGUUGAUAAGGUAACGGCUUACCAAGGCAACGAUGCAUAGCCGACCUGAGAGGGUAAUGAGUCACUGUAGAACUGAGACAGGGUCGAAACUCCGACGUGAGGGAGCAGUAGGGAAUCUUCCGCAAUGGGCGAAAGACUGACGGAGCAACGCCGCGUGAGUGAUGAAGUUCUUCGGAUCGUAAAACUCUGUUAUUGGGGAAGAACAUAUGUGUAAGUAACUGUGCACAUCUUGACGGUACCUAGUCAGAAAGCCACGGCUAACUACGUG
rnacentral:rRNA from 1 species